rnacentral:misc_RNA from 1 species
AAACCCCUCAAGCUCUGCUUGGUGUUGGGCGCUUGUCCUGCCUUUCUGGUACGGACUCGCCUUAAAUACAUUGGCAGCCGUCACUCUGGCUUCGAGCGCAGCACAUUUGCGCCUGAUUUCUAGUCACAGUUUCCCAAAAGCCUAUUUUUU